CCUACGGGUGGCAGCAGUAGGGAAUUUUCGUCAAUGGGCGCAAGCCUGAACGAGCGAUGCCGCGUGAGUGAAGAAGGCCUUCGGUUCGUAAAGCUCUGUUGCGGGGGAAAAAAGUCAGCAUCAGGAACUGGGUGCUGACUGCUGGUGCCCCGCCAGAAACUCACGGCUAACUACGUGCCAGCAGCCGCGGUAAUUCGUAGGGGGCGAGCGUUAUCCGGAAUGAAUGGGCGUAAAGGGUGCGCAGGCGGUCGUGCAAGUCUGGAGUGAAACGCAUGAGCUCAACUCAUGCAUGGCUUUGGAAACUGGGGUGCUGGAGAGCAGGAGAGGGCGGUGGAAUUCCAAGUGUAGCGGUAAAAUGCGUAGAUAUAUGGAAGAACACCAGUGGCGAAGGCGGCCGCCUGGCCUGUUGCUGACGCUGAGGCACGAAAGCGUGGGGAGCAAAUAGGAUUAGAUACCCCUGUAGUC
rnacentral:rRNA from 1 species